CAUCAUCACCAUCACCCUGACUAGUCUUUCAGGCGAUGAGUGCUGGAAGACGGUUUAGCGGCCUUCCGGUGGAUUGAGUGCAAAGAAAACCCUCGGAAGAUUAUCUUCCGAGGGUUUUUUUA
rnacentral:sRNA from 1 species